UUAGUCGGUCCCUAAGGCGAGGCAGAAAUGCGUAGUCGAUGGGAAGCAGGCGAAUAUUCCUGCACCAGCACGGUAGGUUUCACGAGGAGGGACGGAGGAGGAUAGUCAAGCGACCUGAUGGAUGGUCGUUCAAGCCGGUAGGGAGGAUGCGUAGGAGGCUUAGGCCGCAAACGCGCGUUCAAUCCCGAGAGGUGACGAGGGUCGCCGCAAGGCGGACAACUUGAUGAUUCCAGGCUUCCAAGAAAAGCUUCGCGUGAGUGUACCGCUGUGCUGUCCGUACCGUAAACCGACACAGGUGGGUGGGGAGAACAUCCCAAGGCGCUUGAGAGAACUCGGGUUAAGGAACUCGCAAAUUGACACCGUAACUUCGGGAGAAGGUGUGCUCUUGAGGGUGAGGAGCCGCUAACGCGCGCUCGGAGCCUUUGGGGGUUGCAGAGAAUCGGGGGUAGCGACUGUUUAUCAAAAACACAGGACUCUGCGAAGUCGCAAGACGACGUAUAGGGUCUGACGCCUGCCCGGUGCCGGAAGGUUAACAGGAGAUGUCAGCGCAAGCAAAGCAUCGAAUCGAAGCCCCGGUAAACGGCGGCCGUAACGAUAACGGUCCUAAGGUAGCGAAAUUCCUUGGCGGGUAAGUUCCGUCCUGCACGAAUGGCGUAACGACUUCCCCACUGUCUCGACCCUGGACUCAGCGAAAUUGAAUUCGGGGUGAAGAUGCCCCGUACCCGCGGAAAGACGGAAAGACCCCGUGAACCUUUACUGCAGCUUAGCACUGGUCUUCGGAUUUGUCUGUGUAGGAUAGGUGGGAGGCUGUGAAGUGGGGCCGCUAGGUUUCACAGAGCCAACGUUGAAAUACCACCCUGACAAAUCUGAAAGCCUAACCGUGACCCGUAAGCCGGGUCCGGAACACUGCCUGGUGGGUAGUUUGACUGGGGCGGUCACCUCCGAAAGAGUAACGGAGGCGCGCAAAGGUUCCCUCAGGCUGAUUGGAAACCAGCCGUAGAGUGUAAAAGCACAAGGGAGCUUGACUGCAACUCAUACAAGAGGAGCAGGUACGAAAGUAGGCUUUAGUGAUCCGGUGGUUCUGAAUGGAAGGGCCAUCGCUCAACGGAUAAAAGGUACUCCGGGGAUAACAGGCUUAUCACGCCCAAGAGUUCACAUCGACGGCGUGGUUUGGCACCUCGAUGUCGGCUCAUCGCAUCCUGGGGCUGUAGUAGGUCCCAAGGGUUUGGCUGUUCGCCAAUUAAAGCGGUACGCGAGCUGGGUUCAAGACGUCGUGAGACAGUUUGGUCCCUAUCUUCCGUGGGCGCAGGAGUCUUGAAGUGGAUCUGUCCCUAGUACGAGAGGACCGGGAUGGACGAACCCCUGGUGUUCCGGUUGUUUUGCCAGAGGCAUUGCCGGGUAGCUAUGUUCGGAGAGGAUAACCGCUGAAAGCAUCUAAGCGGGAAACCAACCACAAGAUGAGGACUCCCUGAAGGUCCGUCGUAGACCACGACGUUGAUAGGUCGGGUGUGGAAGUGCGGCAACGCAUGGAGCUAACCGAUACUAAUAGACCGCUUGGCUUGACC
rnacentral:rRNA from 1 species